rnacentral:rRNA from 1 species
CAGGCCUAACACAUGCAAGUCGAGCGAAUGGAUUAAGAGCUUGCUCUUAUGAAGUUAGCGGCGGACGGGUGAGUAACACGUGGGUAACCUGCCCAUAAGACUGGGAUAACUCCGGGAAACCGGGGCUAAUACCGGAUAAUAUUUUGAACUGCAUAGUUCGAAAUUGAAAGGCGGCUUCGGCUGUCACUUAUGGAUGGACCCGCGUCGCAUUAGCUAGUUGGUGAGGUAACGGCUCACCAAGGCAACGAUGCGUAGCCGACCUGAGAGGGUGAUCGGCCACACUGGGACUGAGACACGGCCCAGACUCCUACGGGAGGCAGCAGUAGGGAAUCUUCCGCAAUGGACGAAAGUCUGACGGAGCAACGCCGCGUGAGUGAUGAAGGCUUUCGGGUCGUAAAACUCUGUUGUUAGGGAAGAACA